AGUGAACGCUGGCGGUAGGCCUAACACAUGCAAGUCGAACGGCAGCACAGUAAGAGCUUGCUCUUACGGGUGGCGAGUGGCGGACGGGUGGGGAAUACAUCGGAAUCUACUUUUUCGUGGGGGAUAACGUAGGGAAACUUACGCUAAUACCGCAUACGACCUACGGGUGAAAGCAGGGGAUCUUCGGACCUUGCGCGAUUGAAUGAGCCGAUGUCGGAUUAGCUAGUUGGCGGGGUAAAGGCCCACCAAGGCGACGAUCCGUAGCUGGUCUGAGAGGAUGAUCAGCCACACUGGAACUGAGACACGGUCCAGACUCCUACGGGAGGCAGCAGUGGGGAAUAUUGGACAAUGGGCGCAAGCCUGAUCCAGCCAUACCGCGUGGGUGAAGAAGGCCUUCGGGUUGUAAAGCCCUUCUGUUGGGAAAGAAAAGCAGCAGGUUAAUACCCCGCUGUUCCGACGGUACCCAAAGAAUAAGCACCGGCUAACUUCGUG
rnacentral:rRNA from 1 species